rnacentral:lncRNA from 1 species
AGCAGUUUCCUCCUUCCUUCGUUUCUUACAGAUUCAAAAGUACUUGAACCAGAGAAAAGUCAUGCUAAACUUUACUGUUGAAAACGCUACUUUGAUAAACAAUCUGACGGUGUAUUAUGAGCAAAAUACAACAAUAAAUGGCAACGCAACACUGGAAGCACUGAAAAACUUCACGCAGAAUACUUCAUCAAUUGACACUAUUAAUUACUUUUUUACUUCCACACAAGUAUGGGAGAACAGUACAUAUCGUGCGGA